UGGGGUUCAUGCUGUGCUGCCUGGGAGCGUCUGCAAGACCCGAGCGUGGAAGCAGAGCGUGGGGCAGGGUUCUGCCAUGUCACUUAACAGCACCGCUGGGAAGCAUCCAGGUGCUGCAGCUGAAUGAGUGGGAACCACCCCUCCCCAAGGAAGCAUCUCCAGCCCUGGCUGGGUCCUGAUGCAGGGGGACCUGCAGCACCGCUGUGUCCCUGUGGCCAAGUGGCCUCACAAUGCUCCGACAGCAGUGCUGAGCACCAGGGGAUGUGGGAACAGCUGCCUGACAAUGCGGUGCAGCUGUGUGCUUUCAUGCUGGAUAAUGCACCAGAACCACACUGCAGUGGGCUGCUGUCAUGCCUGUUCCUAUGGAAACCGCUUUCAAAGGAGACAGGCAGACAGACAAACACAGACCAAGUGGUGCCGGGUGCUGGAGGGCCCAUGCAGAAGCAGGGAGCAAAAGGGGGCUUGGGCACAUUUACAGCCCAGACCAGAUUGCCUCCUUUGGUGGCAGUGGGCAGUGCAGAAGUGCAGCAGGCUAACUCCAACCACAGCCAAGGGUCGAGCUCUAGCCAGGCAGAAAACACAGGGGUGAUGCCAGCCCUAGCAGACUGACAGGGGCAGUGGUUAUCAGGGCAGAUAUACAGGUGAGCUCUGGCAUAAAACAAUGCCUCCUGAAAUGACUUGUGCCUCUGCUAGCAGUGUUUUCUGCUCUUUGCUUGCAGAAGGCAGAAGGGGCCUCUGGAAGUCAGCAUGGGACAAGGUUGACAGCAUCAGCCUCAACAACCCUGGAGCACCCUCUAACCUCAGACUGCCUGGUUUGGCUUUUCAGGAUGAGAGCAGAUGUCCCCUAAAUAUCUAAUUCAUCCAUCGUGUGUGCCAUGGGACACUUGAAGCAGCAGUGCCUUGGGCCAGCCAGUAGCUGCCGAAAGUGGAAACCUCCUCCCACCCCACCCUAGGGACAUGGCAGUGCCACAGGGACACUGCAGCUGCAUGGGAUGGGUGGCAAAGCUGCUGUGGCUUUUCUGGAAUGGGAGUGUGGAGGCACCUGCUUGGUGUGAAACCAAACACAAGUGAAGUAAGGCAGUGAGUUAAUACCAGCUGGUCUGGGCCACCUAGCAGCUUCAAAUGGACCUUCGCUAUUGCCUUGAUGAACCCAUUUCUCUGGGCAGAGGGAGGCCUGGAAGUGUUGUGGGUAAAGCUAUCUCCAGGCCACACGUAAUUAGGUUUCUAUGUUGGUUGAACCUUUGUCUGCUUUUGAGGGGUGCUGGUCUGUAAGUCUCCCUGUUUAGGGUGUGUAGAGAGUGUCCAUCAAGCAGGUAUGGCUCUCCUGUUUUGUCACCAUCGACCUCUGGGCUGAAGUCUUUACCUGGGUAUGGAGGGUGGUGAGCAAGUCCCUCAUUAUUCAAAAUAGGUUUUUGCAAGCAAGGAGGGCAGAUGUUUUCCAGCAAACAGGUACCUGCUAAAAUCUGAACUGUUAUUGAUUUUUGCUGAGCCUUUCAGCACAUUGCAACUGUCUGAGCAUACACCAGGUUUCUGCCUUGGAAUAACACUCAUGAUACCUCUUCUGGUCAGCUCCAAAACAUCCAGGCAGAUCAGCAUGCCCACAGGAAGA
rnacentral:lncRNA from 1 species